rnacentral:rRNA from 1 species
UACGGGGGGAGCAAGCGUUGUCCGGAGUUAUUGGGCGUAAAGGGCGCGUAGGCGGCGGGGUAAGUCUGGUGUGAAAUCUCGGAGCUCAACUCCGAAAUUGCACUGGAUACUGCUCUGCUAGAGGGCUGGAGAGGAGAUCGGAAUUCACGGUGUAGCAGUGAAAUGCGUAGAUAUCGUGAGGAAGACCAGUGGCGAAGGCGGAUCUCUGGACAGCUCCUGACGCUGAGGCGCGAAGGCUAGGGGAGCAAACGGG